rfam:Sphingomonadales bacterium RIFCSPHIGHO2_01_FTLL_65_20 rifcsphigho2_01_scaffold_61, whole genome shotgun sequence.
GCAGCAGGCCGGGCCCCUCUGGCGCAGCAAUUUCCAAUGCUGCGUGAUGUCGGACUGCUACG